rnacentral:lncRNA from 1 species
UUUGCCCGCGCAGGUUCGAAUCCUGCCGCUCACGUUAGAUGUCUUCGUAUCAGUUCUUUCGUUUGAACGAUGAAGGAUUAACUCUGUACUUUUUUUAAGAUCAGAGCUUGAGAAAUUUCAAGCCUCAUUCUGUGAUUUCUGUCAAUGAUAAUCAACUCAAGAACACAUGUUAACAACAGCCCUAUAUAAUACAGUGAAAGUACAUUGACUUUGAGUAAACGAACCACCAUUUUUACUUACUUCAGUCCAAAUUCAGACAAAUAUGAACAAAAACAAAUUGCAAUCAGAAACCUUUAGCCUGGCGAUUCUCCGCCGCAGACGCUGCAGCGGCUGGCUCCUCGAUCAUAGACCGGCAGUAACUGGCAAUCUCCCGAAACUUGGGCACGCUUCUAAGAUCAACUUUAGUCCCAUCCCGGAGCGUGAUGAUCACGUCCCCCCACUCCCC